rnacentral:rRNA from 1 species
AGAUGAGAUCAUACCAGCACUUAUGCACCGGAUCCCAUCAGAACUCCGCAGUUAAGGGUGCUUGGGAUAGAGUAGUACUAAGAUGGGUGAACUCCUGGGAUGUUCUCGUGUUGCACUUC